rnacentral:lncRNA from 1 species
UAUUUUUAUAUCUAAAGACGUGUUUACGAAAUCAAGAAUGGAUUUAGAUAUGGUUUAAACACUAGAAUGCAAUUGAAUCUUAGCAUGACUUGUACUAAGUGUUCUUGUUGACAAAUAUUAAAGGAUAUUUACAUUCUGAGUUUUGAUCCUAACAAAUAUCAUUAAUCAUUCCAAACAAACAUUAAAACCAUUUUGAAAGGAAGAAAACCCUAGUUAUCGAAAGGAUCGGAAGAGGACGUCGUGCUCGAACGAGCCUCUAAUAAGGCCUCCAUGGGUAUGAAAAAAUUCAACUAAGUGUGCAAAAGAAAUUAAUAAAGCAAGAUAAACAAUAACAUGAAAUAGGAAAAACUAACAUAAAUAGCAUUAAUAGAAAUUGACAAAAUUAAAAUAAGAGAAAACUUACAAACUUUUAAUUGAAAAGGAUGAAUCCAAAAUUACAGGAUUAAAGUUUAAUUAAUCUAAACACUAACUACUAAAAAUGCAAAAUGGAAGUGAAGUGUUUUGUGUUCUUCCUAUGCGAACUUGUUCUCGUGUGUGAGCCUUUUUCUUCUAUAAAGCCAAGCGAGAACUCCUUUUUUCAUUUUUAAAAUGUCCAGUGGGUCAUUGGUUUCCUGCCGUCUCUUUUGUGUCCAAAUGAUGCAUGCUGCCACCAUCAUGGCAUGUUGCCACCUUUUCCCAGUCCGUUCUCUUUUGUGUGUCAAAGAGCUCAUUCAUGGCAGGGCGCCCAGUUUUCAACCAUCUUCUAGCUGCACAUGCUGCUAUUAUGUGAUCCAAGACUGCCUUUUCAUGCGUUGUGUCCCAUUCAACUUCUCUUUGUCCAAUCCAUAUUAAUUAUAAUUAUCUAUAUGUGUGUGUGGGUGUGUGUGUGUGUGUAGAGAAAGAAAUGAUGGGAGAGGGAGAGGAGAGGGAGAGAGAAGAGAGAAAGGAAAGAGAGGAAAGUGAGAUGAGGAGUGAAAGUCAUGAUGGGAAAGAGAAAAAAGGAGAGUGGUGGAAAAGAGUAAAGUAUAAAUUUAAUAUAUAUUUAUAUAUAAUAUGGAGCGAGAAAUAGAGAAGAGCUCUUGAGAGAAUGGACUAUAGUCGUGCUAAAUACACUAUUGGUAAUGACUGCUCUGAUCACACUUUACUUUUUUUUUCUUUUAUUAAUCUAUAAAACCUACAAAACACAUGAAAAAUAUAAUCCAAAAACUAUCUAAUUUAAAAUAAAAAAAAUCAUGAUAAUUAAGUCUAACCCACACGCAUUAAAGGCCUAUAAUUACACUUUAUGGUGUAAAUCAGUAGCAUAACUUGAAACGAAAACCUUUCAUACGUAAACCUAUAAGUACUUUAAAAAUAUAAGUACACAAAAGUGCCACAAACUCGGGGUAGUAACCUUCAGUAACGCUAUCAUAGUAAACCAUAUACAGGUCCACACAGGGUUCUUUAGGCAGGGCAAUCUCCCAAUAGAUAGUUUAUUUUUCGGUCCCCUAUCAUAGGACUACAUUAGUUUAUUUGCGGUCCCUAUCAUAUGACUAGAUAGUUUAUCUCACGUCCCCUAAUCGUAGGACUAUCAGGCUAUAUUAAUAUCUUGCCAUGAGAAGACCUCGAGUUGACGCUAACAUGGUUUAUCCUUUGCUAUCGUGUAAACUUUUCUAUGCAUUGAAAAUACUUCAUGCCAUGUUAAAAGCAUGCAUCUAUGGGAUUUGAUUAAAAAUACUAACAUUUGCAUGCAUUUAGGAAGACUGACUGUCACACGAGCAUUAAUAAUUUAUGCAUUAAAAGCAUAUAAAACGUUGUAUGUAAUAUGGUUGUACAUAGGUUUUGUUUAUGGCAUCAUGUUACUCACCUCAAUUUACUUGACUAGGUGCUAAGCAACGUAUUCCUACAUGUAAGACACGAAAACGUCCAUACUAUGCUCAAUAAUACAAAAAUAUAAUAUCAAAACUAAUACGGAACUCCCGACUGAACCUAGGGUACACUCGCUCUAGGUCAAAACCUCAUGAAAAUGGACCUAAGUCUCCAAAUAGUUUUGUCAAGGAGUCCAACAUACUUCGGACAAAAAUAAAGUGUCUUAAUGUAAAAAGGUCUAAUAGUCAAAGAUUUGGGUUGGUGUUUGAAUGCUGGAUAUACCGUUCAAAUGUUAGGCUAUUGAAUAGUUACCGUUUGAACGCUCCGCAAAGGUAUUCGAACGCUAAGACCAAAUGUCUAGGUUUCAGUCUCUGUCUGUUCAAACUGUAGAGGCAUUCGAAUGUUAAGGCAAAAUGGCUACUGUUCGAACGCCAAAAGGGUCGUUCAAACGCUAAGGCAAAAUGCUCAGACCAUUUGAAUGCUAAGUCUGGCAUUCAAACGUUAAGCGUACAUAGCAGCAGAAAUGGGUUCUCAAUUUUCCAAAGUUUCUCAAAACACAACCCAACCUCUUUCAAUGCUUUUAGGGUAUAAAGAAUAACCAAGGAGACUACCAUUUUUCAAAAUAGAGAAGAAAGUCCAUUAAAACAAAAGGGUCUAAGAUUUAAAAAUUCAAAAA